ACUCCCCCUAGAGCCAUUGCAGAUAUGGCUGCUAUGUCACAUGUGCAUUAGUCGGUGGCAGAAAGGAGAGAGGCUAUGCCUACAGAGGCUGUCCUGACCUGUAGACAUACUCAUCUGAAUGAUGAGUAACCUAAUGUU